rnacentral:tRNA from 1 species
GACCCUAUCGUCUAGUGGCCAAGGACCUCAGGAUUUCCUCCUGAUGACGCUGGUUCAAAUCCAGCUGGGGUCGCCA